GUGGGUAUAGCUCAGAGGUGGAGCAUGUGCUCAGCAUGUGCGAGGUCCUGGGUUCAAUCCUCAGUACCUCCA
rnacentral:tRNA from 1 species